GACGAACGCUGGCGGCGUGCUUAACACAUGCAAGUCGAACGGAAAGGCCCUGCUUUUGUGGGGUGCUCGAGUGGCGAACGGGUGAGUAACACGUGAGUAACCUGCCCUUGACUUUGGGAUAACUUCAGGAAACUGGGGCUAAUACCGGAUAGGAGCUCCUGCUGCAUGGUGGGGGUUGGAAAGUUUCGGCGGUUGGGGAUGGACUCGCGGCUUAUCAGCUUGUUGGUUGGGGAGUGGCUUACCAAGGCUUUGACGGGUAGCCGGCCUGAGAGGGUGACCGGCCACAUUGGGACUGCGGUACGGCCCAGACUCCUACGGGAGGCAGCAGUGGGGAAUAUUGCACAAUGGGCGGAAGCCUGAUGCAGCAACGCCGCGUGCGGGAUGACGGCCUUCGGGUUGUAAACCGCUUUCGCCUGUGACGAAGCGUGAGUGACGGUAAUGGGUAAAGAAGCACCGGCUAACUACGUG
rnacentral:rRNA from 1 species